UACGUAGGUGGCAAGCGUCGUCCGGAUUUACUGGGCGUAAAGAGCGCGCAGGCGGUCGUUCAAGUCGCGUGUGAAAGCCCACGGCUCAACCGUGGAGGGUCAUUGGAAACUGGGGGACUUGAGUACAGAAGAGAAGAGUGGAAUUCCACGUGUAGCGGUGAAAUGCGUAGAGAUGUGGAGGAACACCGAUGGCGAAGGCAGCCCCCUGGGCUAGCACUGACGCUCAGGCACGAAAGCGUGGGGAGCAAACAGG
rnacentral:rRNA from 1 species